rnacentral:rRNA from 1 species
UGGGGAUUUGGCAUGGGCGAAGCCUGACCAGCCUGCCGCGUGCAGGAUGAAGGCCUUCGGGUUGUAAACUGCUUUUGUACGGAACGAAACGGCCUUUUCUAAUAAAGAGGGCUAAUGGACGGUACCGUAAGAAUAAGCACCGGCUAACUACGUGCCAGCAGCCGCGGUAAUAUGGAUCACCGGGGGCUUCUUGCGUGUGGGUUGCUGAUCUUCUUCUCAAUNUAUUGGGUCA